AGGAUUAACGCUGGCGGCGUGCCUAACACAUGCAAGUCGAACGAGGUAGCAAUACCUAGUGGCAGACGGGUGAGUAACACGUGGUCAACCUACCUUUGAGUGGGGGAUAACUAGCCGAAAGGUUAGCUAAUACCGCAUAACACGACGGCCGGCAUCGGCUGUCGUUGAAAGGAGCAAUCCGCUCAUUGACGGGACCGCGUCCCAUUAGCUAGUUGGUGGGGUAACGGCCUACCAAGGCACCGAUGGGUAGCUGGUUUGAGAGAGCGACCAGCCACACUGGGACUGAGAACGGCCCAGACUCCUACGGGAGGCAGCAGUGAGGAAUUUUCCGCAAUGGGCGAAAGCCUGACGGAGCGACGCCGCGUGUGGGAAGAAGGCCCUAGGGUUGUAAAGCUCUUUUGUGCGGGAAGAUAAUGACGGUACCGCAAGAAUAAGCCCGGCUAACUUCGUGCCAGCAGCCGC
rnacentral:rRNA from 1 species